rnacentral:misc_RNA from 1 species
UUGAAUUUUAAUGAAGAGUUUGGUUGUAGCUGGCCCAUUCAUUUGGGCAUGUGCACACCUUCCUCUUUCAAUCCCACACACACCUGUGAACCUGUGAGACAGAGAUGGGGAAUUUACUUGCUGCUUUUAGGAAUACAAAGGCAAUAGGUUAUUGGACCCCCCCUCUGUCUACUCAAUUAAUAUAAACUCAAUUUAUUUUAAAACGAAUGUAAUGGAUGUAACACAUCUCAUAC